rfam:Gossypium arboreum cultivar AKA8401 contig_19659_1, whole genome shotgun sequence.
AAUUCAUGUAUCGGACAUUUCCAAAUUAAGUCUUUAAAUUAUUCCCAAGCUUUAUAUAGUGUUUCAUCCUCCAAUUGUCGAAAAGAUGUAAUGUAAUUUCUAAGCUU